AAUGUAUUAUUUAUUUGUGUGGAAAUGGAGAAAGUUCUCUGUAGUACACGGUUCAGCAUGUAUUUUACCGUCAUACAUAUAGGUAUAACAAGUUGUAGUAAAUGUACUGCAGUGUGCCAUGAGGUGCGUUUUCACCAGCUUCCUGCACUGGGAAAAGGUGAUAAGGACACAGGUGUGCUGAAGAGUUACGUGGACCACUACAGAGACAGAGGACCUUUUGCGGAGUUAGUCAGGGGGUUUCAAUCCUGACAGAAAGUGUUCAUUAACAUCUUUAUUUAUAUCCAAUCCAUUGCAAAUAGAACAAGUACUAUUCCCAUCUGGUGACAAUUCCCCAUAAUGUCUGUCAUUGAGUACAACCCCCCCCCAAAAAAAUAGGAGAAAAAAAAUUCAAGGGACCCUCUCCCCCCUCAGCCCUGCAUCCUGGUUCAGUCCAACCUGAGCAUAGGGGUCUAGUGUCACCCCCAAGGAAUGACGGAAGAAAAUGUCACAGAUACAGCUAUUGAAGAGAGACCUGUAAUAGCCAAGGGCAUACUAAAGGCUCCAAGUGUAGUUGGAUGAGCCAUCAAGAAGAUGCCUGAGCUCUAUACAUUCCUUAUGGAGCGAUGGGCAUUGUAUCACAACCUGGAAUAUGAUUCAGGAGAGGAGAAGAAUCCACGUCUGAUCUUCUAUGAUGAUAAGGAUGAGGUUGUUCAGGUUAGAUAUGGAUUCCCAUUCAAGGUGUUACAUGUCAUCUACUGUACGUGUCAGACAAAGAUUAUCAGCAAAAUGCUUGGGGAAAUAACAUCUAUUUUCCUGAGCUUGACUCAAGCCUGGCAAGAUUAGGGAGGGAUAAAUAACUAAUUAAAGAAGGCAUUAUGCAAGGAAAAAACAAGAGCAUAUCAGUGUAGUCUGAAACAGUUCAAGAGAAUGUGAUGUUAAUAAAUCCUCUGUGUCUUUUGUGAA
rnacentral:lncRNA from 13 species